rnacentral:rRNA from 1 species
AGCCCGAAGAAAUUCGGAUUAAUACUCCAUAAAACUGUGAGAAGGCAUCUUGUGACAGUUAAAGCUUCGGCGGUCUUAGAUGGGCAUGCGUAACAUUAGCUAGUUGGUGAGGUAAUAGCUCACCAAGGCUACGAUGUUUAGGGGGUCUGAGAGGAUGGUCCCCCACACUGGUACUGAGACACGGACCAGACUCCUACGGGAGGCAGCAGUGAGGAAUAUUGGUCAACGGGCGAAAGCCUGAACCAGCCAUGCCGCGUGAAGGAUGACGGCCCUAUGGGUUGUAAACUUCUUUUAUACGGGAAGAAACCCCUCUACGUGUAGAGGGCUGACGGUACCGUACGAAUAAGCAUCGGCUAACUCCGGGCCAGCAGCCGCGGUAAUACGGAGGAUGCAAGCGUUAUCCGGAUUUAUUGGGUUUAAAGGGUGCGUAGGCGGAAAAUUAAGUCAGUGAUGAAAUCCUGCAGCUUAACUGUAGAAUUGUUAUUGAUACUGAUUUUCUUGAAUACAGUUGACGUAGGCGGAAUGUGUAAAGUAGCAGUGAAAUGAUUAGAUAUUACACAGAACACCGCUUGCAAAGGCAACUCACUAAACUGUGAUUGACGCUGAGGCACCGAAAGCGUGGGGAGCGAACAGGAUUAGAUACCCUGGUAGUCCACGCUGUAAACGAUGAUCACUCGUUGUUGGCAAUACAUCGUCAGCGACUGAGCGAAAGCAGUAAGUGAUCCACCUGGGGAGUACGAUCGCAAGAUUGAAACUCAAAGGAAUUGACGGGGGCACCGCACAAGCGGAGGAACAUGUGGUUCAAGUCGAUGAUACGCGAGGAACACUGACCUGGGCUGAAACGCAUAACGACGGACCGGGAAACUGGUACUUCUUCGGACGGAAUGCAAGGUGCUGCAUGGCUGUCGUCAGCUCGUGCCGUGAGGUGUCGGGUUAAGUCCCAUAACGAGCGCAACCCUCAUCAUUAGUUGCCAGCGGGUAAUGCCGGGGACUCUAAUGAAACUGCCGGUGUAAACUGAGAGGAAGGUGGGGAUGACGUCAAGUCAGCACGGCCAUUAUGUCCAGGGCUACACACGUGUUACAAUGGUCAGUACAAAGGGCAGCUACCAGGCAACUGGAUGCUAAUCUCUAAAACUGGUCUCAGUUCGGAUCGGAGUCUGCAACUCGACUUCGUGAAGUUGGAUUCGCUAGUAAUCGCGCAUCAGCCAUGGCGCGGUGAUACGUUCCCAGGGCAUUGUACACACCGCCAGUCAAGCCAUGGAGCCGGGGGUACCUGAAG